GACGAACGCUGGCGGCGUGCUUAACACAUGCAAGUCGAACGCUGAAGCUCAGCUUUUGUUGGGUGGAUGAGUGGCGAACGGGUGAGUAACACGUGAGUAACCUGCCCCCUUCUUUGGGAUAACGCCCGGAAACGGGUGCUAAUACUGGAUAUUCACUGGUCUUCGCAUGGGGGUUGGUGGAAAGGGUUUUUCUGGUGGGGGAUGGGCUCGCGGCCUAUCAGCUUGUUGGUGGGGUGAUGGCCUACCAAGGCUUUGACGGGUAGCCGGCCUGAGAGGGUGACCGGUAACAUUGGGACUGAGAUACGGCCCAGACUACUACGGGAGGCAGCAGGGGGGAAUAUUGCACAAUGGGUGCAAGCCUGAUGCAGCGACGCCGCGUGAGGGAUGGCGGCCUUCGGGUUGUGAACCGCUUUCGCUCAUGGUCAAGCCGCAACAAUGGUUGUGGUGAGGGUAGUGGGUAAAGAAGCGCCGGCUAACUACGUG
rnacentral:rRNA from 1 species